rnacentral:rRNA from 1 species
AACUAACUAGGAUUCCCUUAGUAGCGGCGAGCGAACAGGGAAAAGCCCAGCACCGAAUCCCGCGGCCGUCUCGGUCGCCGGGAAAUGUGGUGUUAGGGAGGGUCCGCUAUCCCGAGGUCGCGCGGCGCGUCCAAGUCCUUCUUGAACGGGGCCACUUACCCAUAGAGGGUGCCAGGCCCGUAGUGACUGCCGCCGGCAACGGGAGGAUCUCUCCUCAGAGUCGGGUUGCUUGAGAGUGCAGCCCUAAGUGGGUGGUAAACUCCAUCUAAGGCUAAAUAUGACCACGAGACCGAUAGCGAACAAGUACCGUGAGGGAAAGUUGAAAAGAACUUUGAAGAGAGAGUUCAAUAGUACGUGAAACCGUUCAGGGGUAAACCUGAGAAACCCGAAAUGUCGAAUGUAAAGAUUCAGCGCGUCUCGUCUGUGUGCGAGUGGUGGUUGUGUGACGGCCGGCGUUCGCGUCGACCGCGCCUUCCGCCGCCGAUGCGCGACGAACGCGUGCACUUCUAUACUAGUAGGACGUUGCGACCCGUUGGGUGUCGGUCUAAGGACCGCGGUGGAGACCGAGUGUACGCUUCGGCGUUUCGUUCGGACCCGCGUGUUCCCGACCGGCUCGCUCGACGGUACGACAGUGGCGCGGGGCCGCGAUUAAUUUCGCGUCCGGCCCGUCGCAAGUGCGGACGGUUAUCGGGAUCUCGGACCUAGUGCCGACUCUCGAGCCGUUCGGCUGCUGGCGACGGUGUCCUCGGACAGACUCCGUAUACGCCGGUCGGCGACGAUUUAGCUUUGGGUACUUUCAGGACCCGUCUUGAAACACGGACCAAGGAGUCUAGCAUGUGCGCGAGUCAUUGGGACUUAACGAAACCUAAAGGCGCAAUGAAAGUGAAGGCCGCCUUGCGCGCGCCUAGGGAGGAUGCGCCGGGCUACGGCCUGGCGCCGCACUCCCGGGGCGUCUCGUGCUCAUUGCGAGCUGAGGCGCACCCAGAGCGUACACGCUGGGACCCGAAAGAUGGUGAACUAUGCCUGGUCAGGACGAAUCAGGGAAC